rnacentral:rRNA from 1 species
UACGUAGGGGGCUAGCGUUGUCCGGAAUCAUUGGGCGUAAAGAGCGUGUAGGCGGCCCGGUAAGUCCGCUGUGAAAGUCGGGGGCUCAACCCUCGAAUGCCGGUGGAUGCUGUCGGGCUAGAGUGCGGAAGAGGCGAGUGGAAUUCCUGGUGUAGCGGUGAAAUGCGCAGAUAUCAGGAGGAACACCAAUUGCGAAGGCAGCUCGCUGGGACGUAACUGACGCUGAGACGCGAAAGCGUGGGGAGCAAACAGG